AGCCUGAACGCUGGCGGCGUGGCUAAGACAUGCAAGUCGAACGGGUGUAGCAAUACACCAGUGGCGGACGGGUGAGUAAUGUAUCGCUAACGUGCCCUGGAGCCAGGGAUAGCCGCCCGAAAAGGGCAGGUAAUACCUGAUGACAUAACCUUAUCGCAUGAAAAGGUUCUCAAAGCAGCAAUGCAC
rnacentral:rRNA from 1 species